rnacentral:snRNA from 1 species
GGAUGUGAGGGCAACCUGGCUGCGACAUCUGUAACCCCAUUGAUCGCCAGGGUUAAUUCGGCUGAUCUGGAUGGCUGGACAGGUGUCCCCUUCCUCCCUCAAUGCUCCUUGUGCGUCCCUCCCAAAGGUGUGCACUUGGUCCAAGAGGAUGACCACCCCCAGUAGAGGACCGUUCCUCGGUCAAGGGUAUACGAGUAACUGCGCUCCCCUGCUAGAAUCUCCAAACAAGCCCUCAAGGUCCAUAAUAGGUCUUUAAAAUACAUGAACUGGAAAAUAGGUAGAACUGAAAGAAGAAACAGGUGAAUCUGCAUUU